rnacentral:rRNA from 1 species
CCUACGGGCGGCUGCAGUGGGGAAUAUUGCACAAUGGGCGCAAGCCUGAUGCAGCCAUGCCGCGUGUGUGAAGAAGGCCUUCGGGUUGUAAAGCACUUUCAGCGGGGAGGAAGGCGGUGAGGUUAAUAACCUCAUCGAUCGACGUUACCCGCAGAAGAAGCACCGGCUAACUCCGUGCCAGCAGCCGCGGUAAUACGGAGGGUGCAAGCGUUAAUCGGCAUUACUGGGCGUAAAGCGCACGCAGGCGGUCUGUCAAGUCGGAUGUGAAAUCCCCGGGCUCAACCUGGGAACUGCAUUCGAAACUGGCAGGCUAGAGGCUUGUAGAGGGGGGUAGAAUUCCAGGUGUAGCGGUGAAAUGCGUAGGGAUCUGGAGGAAUACCGGUGGCGAAGGCGGCCCCCUGGACAAAGACUGACGCUCAGGUGCGAAAGCGUGGGGAGCAAACAGGAUUAGAUACCCGGGUAGUC